GAUCAUAUAAUCAAAGUAAUUAUCAACCAGGAUUAAUUUAUAUCCAAAUAAAUCAAUGUAUCUGGUUAAUAAAUUUAAUACUCCUUGAUCCCAUCACUGGUAUGAAAAAAGUUUGCUAUUUGAAUUUCCCAUCUCUAUGUAAAUGCAACAGGCCAUAAGUGGAACAGAAAAAGGAGAGCGUAUUGCGAUGCUUCUGUCUCCAACCUUUUCGUCUCCUACACCUGGACUUUUAGAUUCUAUUCCUCAGCCAAGUGGAAGCAUGUUUACCAGUUUCCUCACAGCUCCUUUGCAGGCUUUUCUUAUGUUGAUUGGAAUUUCAGGCUCUGAUAUUGAAAUGGUAAAUGUUAAUUCANACAAUAUCGUUUCGAGGAUAAAAUAGUUCGGAAUAAUCAUUUCACUCAAACGACAAAAUUUUAUGAUGAACAAAAUUUAAGUUGUUGAAUACUAUGUAAACAUAUGUAUCCAAAAUAUAGAUGGCUGCUGGAAUUCUCCCUUGACUGCCCACACAUCUUCUUUUGUAUAUAAUAUAAAAAUGAAAUGUAACUAAAAUAUAGAUCGUGAUUAUUCAUAUUUAAUAAUAUUUAAUAUCAGAAUAUACAUCAGACAUCAGUUACAAUUCGUCGUUUUGAGUAUUUUUCUGUAUGAAAAUGGAUGGACAAAUAUCGUAUAUUAUAUGACCUCUGUGCUUGCAAAUCUUUUAAGAAAACCUCAAAUGUUAAAAGAAAACAAACAAAUAUUAAGCUGAAUGGAUACAAACUCAUAAUUAUUUGCAACGGUUGUUGAAGUGAUAAUUAUUAAUUUACACUAUGAUGGAAUACGACUAUAUCUUUUUGAGGAUAAAGUAGUUCGGAGUAAUCUAUUCACUCAAACGACAAAAUUUUAUGAUGAACAAAUUUUAAUUUGUCGAAGAACUAUGUAUACAUAUUUAUCCAAAAUAUAGAUGACUGUUAGAAUUCUCCCAUGACUGCCCACACAUCUUCUUUUUGUAUAUAAUAUAAAAAUGAAAUGUAACUAAAAUAUAGAUCGUGAUUAUUCAAAUUUAAUAAUAUUUAAUAUCAGAAUAUACAUCAGACAUCAAUUAUAAUUCGUCGUUUUGAGUAUUUUUCUAUAUGAUAUAUACAAAAUUCAAUAUUCAUAUUUAAUAAUUAUAUUAAUAUUAUAAAUAAAUAGAUAAUUAUAAUAAUAAUAAUAAUAAUUCAUAAUAAAUAAAUUUUGAUAGAUAAUCCAAAUUCUAUUGAAAUUCUUAAUAGCGGUUAUUGGUUUGUUCUUUUUUCCUUUCCCUUUCAAAAUAGGAAACAAUUUAGUGAUUAGAAAAAGCUCCUGUUCAUUACCAAAAGUAAAGUUUAUUAGCAAUCGGCGAUGGGGGAUAUAUAGAUUCCGAGCGAGAAAGAAAGGGAGGAGAAGAGAUGAGAAACAGCAACAAUACGAGUGUUCCAGUGAGCGAAAUGUACUGGUCACUUGUGGCUAAAGCCGAUAAGAAGUUCUCUAAAAUUAGGGAUUUGCCUUAUUACGAACGCAACAGGUCCAUUUCUACCACUAUUUACUCUAUCACUUUUGUGUUUGAUAUAUCAUUCAACUUGUUAUCUGAUCUCUACUUGACUAUUUGUGUUUUCAAUUUAUUAGUUUCUGUAAGCAAGUGAUUACUGGCCAAUUGCUAUGGUUUAUUCGGUUGUUAAGCUGGAUUAGUGAGUAUAUGAUUUUGGUGAAUAUUUUAUUUGUGAAUUUUAAUCUUUAUCUGUAUUUUGGGAUUAUAUUGUAAAACUUAUGUGGUGAAUUAUAUUAUAUUUCGUGAUAAUCAGAGGUUUGUAGGGUAAGAUAGUUUAAAGCGGAACUUAUUUCCUCUCUAAACACACAGAGAGACAUACAAGGACGGAUAACCGAACCGGAUUUUUUUCAAAAAAAAAAAAACGCUGUAUAUAUUAUCAUUAAAGCUAAAAGCCAUGUUUUAUCAAAGUUGCUGCUAAUCAAAGUGAAUCAUUUUUUUUAGUGACAAUACAUGUAAUAAAACAAUAUAAAUUCUCCUUAAUUUUUGUUCAGGAUACCAGUAAGAUAUAUUUGAACUUGGCAAAUUGCAUUAUCAUUCAACUGCAAUGCAAAAUGCAGGACAUAUUUAGGUAUUACAAUGUCGAUUAUAUUAACCAGCAGUAACUAUUUCAGAGUUUAGUUGACGGCUGCAAUUUAUGACUCUGUGAUACAAUAUAACUCACAGGCUAAACUCUAAAGAGUAGACCCGGCAUUUCGUGUUGUGUCCUGUACUUGAAACCCAAACACGAACACGACAUGAAAUUACACAAAAUUUUGUUAUCCGAAAAUACACGACACGUUACAAAGAAAUAGACGACACGAAAGGUACAUGAAAUGAAAUGUAGACGAAAUAUAUAUAUUUUUUCAUUUUUAUUGACCAAUUUGAAAUUACAAGAAUCAAAUUAAUAUGUUUCGUUAUUUCGUAUACAUUUAAUUUCAUUUUUAAUGACUAAGUUGAUACAAAUUUUCAAAUUGGUAAUCAAAUUGAGUCAAUUUUGAAAUGAGUGACUAACGUGAUAUAUUUGAACCAAAAGAAUGAUGACUUUGAUAUUUAUCCCUAUUUAAAUAUUGAUGAUUAAUUAAUUUAUACAUAUGAAUUGAUAUUAUAUCUUUUUUAAUUUAUGAAAUUCUACGAUAAAUAUCAAAUUAUUUAUAUAAAUAUUGUUAUUAAAAUUUAUUAACUUAUAUUAUAAAUUAUUAUUAUUUUAAUUAAUUAGUUAUGUCGUGGAUUCGUUUAGUGACAUGUACACAAAAGGGUGAACCAAAACAUGACAUUGAAUCAGUAAUUUUACACUGGUUCAAAAUGCUUCAUUUGUGUAUAUAAAAGCGGUGACAGUUAUACCUGUUAAUAAACUUUGAAUUCAUGUUUGUGGGGAUGUUUUAGGUACGAUACAUACUUUUCUAAGGUGUUCAAGGCCUAUACACAGCUGUGGAAGUUUCAGCAAGAGAAUCGGCAGAAGCUGGUGGAAGCAGGGCUUAAGAGAUGGGAGAUUGGGGACAUUGCAUCAAGGAUUGGGCAGUUAUACUUUGGGCAGUAUAUGAGGACAAGUGAUCGUAGUUAUUUGUCAGAGUCAUAUAUAUUUUAUGAAGCAGUGUUGACUAGGGAGUAUUUUCGGGAUGGAUUUUCUCAGGAUCUGAAUCUUGCUAUAAAGCAAUUGAGAUUCCUUGCUAGGUUUUUGACAGUGUGUUUGGUGAUGAGCAGACGAGAAAUGGUUUUCCAGUUGGUUAAUCAACUGAAAAUGUUGCUUGAUGAGUGCAAAAGAAUCUUUCAGGUCUUUUCAUUGCAAACCCUUUUUCCAAAGAAUAUGUUGCGGUGUCAUCUUUUCUGGCUAUAUUUAGUCCUGAUCUAACUGUCACGAUUAUUCCAAAAUGUUUUGUCCAUCAUAAACAUUUUGCUUCAUGGUCUCAAGUUGGCGAUUGAAUUAUGGAUAUAGAGGAACCUAAUCGUUAGCAUAAGUUUAGCAGUAAAUUAAAGAUGUGGAAGCAUCUUGCAUGGUUAUGGGUGUCCUGUCAUUUGAAAUUGCUCCAUUUUAUUUAUUUAAAGUGUCAUAGGAGGACUACAAAUUGGUUGCUGUACACUGAGUCUGUUUUCCAUAACCUCUAGCGAGGACCAAAAACAUUAGUGAAGUGGUUUUGGUUUCUGUAAUGUUGUAAGUCGUGCUGUUUAGUAUUUACCAUUAAACUUCGAAGAAAUCCUUACUCUGGAGCAAUAAUUUACUUAAAGAGUAAUAUAAAGGUCACCUUGAAGUAAAGUAUUGAAAUUGUAAAUACUUAGUUGCACAACUUAAUACUUUUUUGGAGAGACCCACUAUUUAUCUUUCCUCUUCUUAAAGUGCAGCAUUGAGGUAUUAUAGUAUUAGAAGUAAAUUACUCAAUGAUUUGACAUGAACAUGUGCCUGAGACUAUUAAUCUAAAUGAAAAGAUCCUCCGUGGUCUGAUGCUUUACACACGAAAUGUUCCAGUUCCAUAUAUGUUGUAAUGCCAGUUUACCUUUAUGUAUUAAAUAUAUAUGUGGUAAGAUGUUAUUUGUUAUGAAUCCUGUUUUGUCAAGUAUGGAUUAAAAUUUGGUUGAUAUUGUUUCCAGGAAACUGACUUUAGAGAAUGGAAGGUGGUUGUUCAGGAGAUAGGUAAAUUUCUGAAGGCUGAUACCGGUUUAAUGAAUUUCAGACCUUUGAGAUACAGUCUUGUACUAGAUCGUCACCCUGAUUAUAUACCUCAUAUUGCUGAUGCCAAGAGAAAGCUCAAACUUAGAGAAGCAAUACUAUGCAGCUACCAUCCUAAUGAGGUUUAUACGUCUUUUCAUCGUAGUUUUUGGGUUUUGUUAACAAGUAUGUACUAACCGAUAUUAUAUUAUAAAGUCUAAUCAAUGCCCAAAUUGUAUAUUCUCUGUUAUGUUUAUAUGUGUAUCAUACAUCCCAGUUUUAAAAUAUUUUAACUAUAUCGAGGUGGUUAGAUACAUGUGAUUGUAAUGAUGGAGCCAAUGUAGCACAUAAAGUCGGAUAUGUUUCUAAAUUAUAGCAAUAAUAUCUUAAUUGUAAGGUCACUCACAAACGUCAUCAGGAGUAAUGGAUGGAAUUUUUGAAUAAUGACUAGGCAGUGUAUACUGGCUUGUGCAUGCACAACCAAGACCUUUUAAUCUUGUUAUAUGAAAUACUUAAAUCUUACUACACUAAGUACAGACAUUAUUUUAAUUAGCACUUAAAUAUACAAAAAUAUUAAAUUCAUUGCCGUGUCCUACCAUUUAAACUUGACUUCAGAAAUUAUAGAGUACAAUACUUUUAUUGAGUUAGUUAUUGGAAAUUCGUAUCAACCUUGAAGUUCAAAAAGAAGCUGGUUAUUUUUGAGGACUUGAUAAGCAGCAAUAUAAUUCUGAAAUCCCAAAUGGGUCUUUUUUUAGAACGAAGGUUGUUUGUGUAGUAUCCUAUUUUAUUUUAUGGAUGACACUUUUAGAGAACUUGAUAUCAUUAUAGCAGGAGUAGAGCAUGAAUUGGUAAACUCAAAUUGCUUCUUCACUGUUAUAUCUAUUUAUUUACUUAGUUUUUUGAUCAGAUCAAAUUUUCAGAGCUCACGCUUGAUACUUUCAGAAUGCUUCAAUGUCUGGAGUGGGAACCCAGUGGCUCAUUUUACCAGUCAACUGGUGCUGCAUCCGGCACUGUUCACAAGGGAGCCUCUGGCCCUAGUCGCAUAAACUACACACAGGAUAUAGCUGAUCCUACUUUGCCUGCUAACCCACGCAAAGCCAUGCUCUAUCGUCCAUCUGCUACACAUUUUAUUGCAGUGAGUAUAUUUCAUUGAAGCGGAGGUUUUUCAGAGGAAAGGCUUGUUAAAAUUGGGGUGUAGUAAUUUAUGAUAUAUAUAUAUAUAUGCUGAUUCCAUUAUAUCUUCAAUUCCAGCUUAUUUAGGCUGUAGAAAUUACUUUUGUAUGUAUUAUGGGACCCUGAGACUACAAUUAAAGGUAAGCCAUUAGGCAUAAUGUUACUUCUCUCUGCUUUUUAUUGCAGGUGCUGGCAACUUUGUGUGAGGAGCUUCCUCCUGACGGAGUUCUAUUAGUUUAUGUAUCUGCUUCAGGUGCUGCAGCUCUUUCUUAUGUCUUCGCCAUGGUCUUUCGACUUGCACAUAUAUUUAGCUAACUCAUAAUGAUUUGAGUUGCUUUAGGAAGUAUUGGACAUUUAGGUAAUGCUGACAACAAUAUCUUGAACUCGGAGCUUGGUUAUAUGCAGCUUGAAGAGGCUAGUACUCCUACUGGCUGCUUGCAAAUCGGUGCUCGAGGCGAUGGAGGUACAUAUUUCUGUCACUCAUAAUUUAAUAUAAUCGAUUGUGUUCCAAUUUGGAAGAUGCCUUACAUAUGUUUUUCUCACCAGGUUUAAAUUGCAUAUAUCCUUGUGACUUCAUUCCAUUUACAAGAAGGCCACUAUUUUUGAUUAUUGACAGUAGUAUGAGUGAAUCAUUCAAGGCAAGUCUUCUUACUGAUUUUUGCCUAAUAUAUAUUAGAAAUAUAUACAGUAGAACACUGAUAAAUGAAUAACCUUGAUAGAUAUUUUUAGCAUAUUUUUGACUUCAAACUUAAUAUAGACAAUGUAUUUUUAACCUCGAUAAAUGAAUAAAAUUCUGGGGUCCUGAGGGUAUUCAAUUUCAUGCACUGAUGUUUAACUAUAUAUGUAUUAUCUCAGCAUCAUCAAUCUUUUCGGUGAUGUAUUUAUAUAUAUAUCCUUGCCAUAGUUUCUUAAUGUAAUAAUUGUAUGCGAUGAGUUGAAUAGUAAAUUAAUAUGGGUUUAAUGAGUAAAAAUUCUUGAAAUAUUUAAUAAGCAAUAUAUUAUGUUUUGCAAUUGUCUUUCCUAAAAGUUUGAAUAUCUAUUAACCUGAUGGGUGAAAUUGAUUUCUGUAAUCCAUCCUAUGUGCUCAUGGGGUUCUCUGACAUUCUGGCCCUUAAGUUGUGGAAGAACAUUAGAUGUUAUUAAGCAAAUGAUAACUUCACAGACAAACAUAAUAUAAAGUAAAUGACAGGCUUUGAUUAAGUAAUGGUGUAGGACUGCUCAAGAAAAGGUAUGUAUCAAGAGCAAACAUGUAAUGAUCAUAUAAUCAAAGUAAUUAUCAACCAGGAUUAAUUUAUAUCCAAAUAAAUCAAUGUAUCUGGUUAAUAAAUUUAAUACUCCUUGAUCCCAUCACUGGUAUGAAAAAAGUUUGCUAUUUGAAUUUCCCAUCUCUAUGUAAAUGCAACAGGCCAUAAGUGGAACAGAAAAAGGAGAGCGUAUUGCGAUGCUUCUGUCUCCAACCUUUUCGUCUCCUACACCUGGACUUUUAGAUUCUAUUCCUCAGCCAAGUGGAAGCAUGUUUACCAGUUUCCUCACAGCUCCUUUGCAGGCUUUUCUUAUGUUGAUUGGAAUUUCAG
rnacentral:lncRNA from 1 species